rnacentral:rRNA from 1 species
CACAUGCAGUCGAACGGCAGCACGAGAGAGCUUGCUCCUCCUUGGUGGCGAGUGGCGGACGGGUGAGUAAUAUAUCGGAACGUGCCCAGUAGCGGGGGAUAACUACUCGAAAGAGUGGCUAAUACCGCAUACGCCCUACGGGGGAAAGGGGGGGAUCGCAAGACCUCUCACUAUUGGAGCGGCCGAUAUCGGAUUAGCUAGUUGGUGGGGUAAAGGCUCACCAAGGCAACGAUCCGUAGCUGGUUUGAGAGGACGACCAGCCACACUGGGACUGAGACACGGCCCAGACUCCUACGGGAGGCAGCAGUGGGGAAUUUUGGACAAUGGGGGAAACCCUGAUCCAGCCAUCCCGCGUGUAUGAUGAAGGCCUUCGGGUUGUAAAGUACUUUUGGCAGAGAAGAAAAGGCAUCCCCUAAUACGGGAUGCUGCUGACGGUAUCUGCAGAAUAAGCACCGGCUAACUACGUGCCAGCAGCCGCGGUAAUACGUAGGGUGCAAGCGUUAAUCGGAAUUACUGGGCGUAAAGCGUGUGUAGGCGGUUCGGAAAGAAAGAUGUGAAAUCCCAGGGCUCAACCUUGGAACUGCAUUUUUAACUGCCGAGCUAGAGUAUGUCAGAGGGGGGUAGAAUUCCACGUGUAGCAGUGAAAUGCGUAGAUAUGUGGGAGGAAUACCGAUGGCGAAAGCAGCCCCCUGGGAUAAUACUGACGCUCAGACACGAAAGCGUGGGAGCAAACAGGAUUAGAUACCCCUGGUAGUCACGGCCUAAACGAUGUCAACUAAGCUGUUGGGGGCGGUUAGCCUUAGUAGCGCAGCUAUCGCGUGGAGAUGACGGCUGGGGGAGUACAGUCGC